GUGUUACUGAAGGCUGGAACUGAUGUUAAUGUACAGAAUAAUACAGGUGACACACCACUUCAUAUAGCAGCAGGACGGGGAUCUACAGAGUGUGUUGAUGGGUUACUGAAGGCUGGAGCUGAUGUUAAUGGUACAGAAUAAUACAGGUGACACUCCACUUCAGAUAGCAGCAGGAGUGAGAUCUACAGAGUGUGUUGAUGUGUUACUGAAGGCUGGAGCUGAUG